rnacentral:rRNA from 1 species
CCGACGGUGAGGGGUGAAAGCUGGGGGAGCAAACCGGAUUAGAUACCCGGGUAGUCCCAGCUGUAAACGAUGCUCGCUAGGUGUCUGGGAUGGUGCGACCGUUUCAGGUGCCGCAGGGAAGCCGUGAAGCGAGCCACCUGGGAAGUACGGCCGCAAGGCUGAAACUUAAAGGAAUUGGCGGGGGAGCACUACAACGGGUGGAGCCUGCGGUUUAAUUGGACUCAACGCCGGAAAACUCACCUGGGGC